AGCGAACGCUGGCGGCAGGCCUAACACAUGCAAGUCGAACGGAUCCUUCGGGAUUAGUGGCGGACGGGUGAGUAACACGUGGGAACGUGCCCUUUGGUUCGGAACAACUCAGGGAAACUUGAGCUAAUACCGGAUGUGCCCUUCGGGGGAAAGAUUUAUCGCCAUUGGAGCGGCCCGCGUCCGAUUAGCUAGUUGGUGAGGUAACGGCCCACCAAGGCGACGAUCAGUAGCUGGUCUGAGAGGAUGAUCAGCCACACUGGGACUGAGACACGGCCCAGACCCCUACGGGAGGCAGCAGUGGGGAAUCUUGCGCAAUGGGCGAAAGCCUGACGCAGCCAUGCCGCGUGAAUGAUGAAGGUCUUAGGAUUGUAAAAUUCUUUCAGCGGGGACGAUAAUGACGGUACCCGCAGAAGAAGCUCCGGCUAACUUCGUG
rnacentral:rRNA from 1 species